AAUUUAUGAACUUUAGUAAUAAAUAUAUAAUUAACGUGUAUUUAUUUAUUACAUUUUAAUAUUUUCAACGAUUUACGAAAUCGAAAAUGAUUUUAGAAUUUUAAGUUAAAACGAAUUUGAAUUACGAAAUUCCGUUCGAUUGAAAUUAGGAAACAAUACUAAUCAGUGUUGAAUUCAAAUUCUAAAACUAAAUACUACUCCUAGCCCAAUUGGGCAAAGCCCAAGCCAAUAAACCCAACAAAACACCCCCUUCUCUUCUCUAUGUUUCACGUGAAACCAAAGAAAGAAAAAAAAAGAAACCCUCCAUCCUUCUUCCCCUCUCACUGCACGUAGAAAAGGAAAAGAAAAACUCUCAAGCCUCUUUUGCUCCAGCCGUCGCAUAGCCGCCGCGCAGCCACCACCGGCGUUCUCCUCCGGCCGCCACCACCGCACGACCACCGUGCCCCGCGGCCGACCACCGUUCUCCACCUCCGCAGUCAACCACCACCGGCGUGCUGCACCAUCGUUGCUUCUUGCUCUCCCUCCUCACGUCAAUCCCCUUUAUUCUUUGCUUGCUUCACCACCAACCGUCGACCACCUCGUGCACCGUCGCCCACGACAGCAGCCAGCCCAACCGCAACCGCUCGCGCCGCCGUGCCUCUGACCGCCGGCCGCCCACUCUUCUCUCCUUAUUUGGCGGAUAAUUCUCUUUAGGCGACUUUUGAAAGUGUUAAAGUGGUCUAUCAGUUUGUUUACACAAGUCUCUAAGGAUCAAUAAGCAUUGUCCAUCUACAAGUUUGAAGAUGUUGCAUCAUUGGGAUCGGGAAUAGAGAGCUUGUAUUUAGUUUUGAUUUGCUAAGUUGACUUGGGUUUGUUUAAUUGGACUUUAAACUGGUCGUACUAUUUAUAUUUCCUUAUUUUUCGUUUAUUGGUUUUUGGGAUUAAACCUGUAAUCGAUUAUUUAUAAACCUAAAGUUAGUUUUAUGUUUUC